rnacentral:rRNA from 1 species
GGAUGAACGCUGGCGGCGUGCCUAAUACAUGCAAGUCGAGCGAAUGNAUUGAGAGCUUGCUCUCAAGAAGUUAGCGGCGGACGGGUGAGUAACACGUGGGUAACCUGCCCAUAAGACUGGGAUAACUCCGGGAAACCGGGGCUAAUACCGGAUAANAUUUUGAACUGCAUGGUUCGAAAUUGAAAGGCGGCUUCGGCUGUCACUUAUGGAUGGACCCGCGUCGCAUUAGCUAGUUGGUGAGGUAACGGCUCACCAAGGCAACGAUGCGUAGCCGACCUGAGAGGGUGAUCGGCCACACUGGGACUGAGACACGGCCCAGACUCCUACGGGAGGCAGCAGUAGGGAAUCUUCCGCAAUGGACGAAAGUCUGACGGAGCAACGCCGCGUGAGUGAUGAAGGCUUUCGGGUCGUAAAACUCUGUUGUUAGGGAAGAACAAGUGCUAGUUGAAUAAGCUGGCACCUGACGGUACCUAACC